UGGUCUGAUGAGUCCAGAUUGACCCUGUUCCAAAGUGAGAUGAGAGUUGGAUGAAGUGAUUACCCAUUAUGCCUAGUGCCUACAGUACAAACCUGCGGGGGCAGUGUUAUGGUUUAGGUUUAUCUCUGUAAGCCAGGUCA